rnacentral:rRNA from 1 species
UACAGAGGGUGCGAGCGUUAAUCGGAAUUACUGGGCGUAAAGCGUGCGUAGACGGUAGCGUAAGUCAGAUGUGAAAGUCCCGGGCUCAACCUGGGAAUUGCAUUUGAGACUGCGUAGCUAGGGUGCGGAAGAGGGAAGCGGAAUUUCCGGUGUAGCGGUGAAAUGCGUAGAUAUCGGAAGGAACACCAGUGGCGAAAGCGGCUUCCUGGUCCAGCACCGACGUUCAGGCACGAAAGCGUGGGGAGCAAACAGG